UAAGCAUGUGCCGGUGACGCUAAUAAAUACAUACAUAGAAGAUAAUAGACAAAAUAGUUAAUCAUUAGUAGAUACUCAAAGUAAACAAUCGCAAUGUUUGUAUGUACUUAUGUAGUUAUAAGCAAGAAAUGGGUCUAGCUUGUACCUGUAAAUAUAUAGUCACAAUUUCUGGCAUUGGUAAAUAUUUACACACAUGUAUGUACAUGUGUUUUGUACAGCACUACCUCAUAGUAAAUCACACUACGUAGAAGAGGGUAGAAGGGAAAAAGAAAUGCAGGAAAUACUUUUGUUUUGAGGCACAUCUAGUGUGAAAUUAAGAAUUUUUUGUUUUCACAUAUUACGAUAGCCCACUUAUGCCUUUCAAAAUAACAUACUAAACUUUUAAAUUAAUAUUGCAAAUAGUUUUGAGUUACAUACGAGUACUGCGAAAGUAUAGCCGCUCAGUUCAAUCAGCUUAUUUAGAUUAUUACAGUUGUAAUUCGAAGACAAAUCAUCCGAUCACUUUGAUUUUUUCAGUUUUUCUUGUGUAUGAAAACUGUAAUUUUGGCGGACUUUUUUUUUAAAGUCUUAUAAGUAUAUUCUGACAAUUUGUAUAACAUUUCAUGCAGCAGUUUUCUUUAAAAAACUAGACACAUACAUUGUAACUCUGAUCCAAGCCUUAUUAGAUUGGCCUAGUAAUUAAGAAGGAGGACAAUUACGGCCCAUUCACAUACAACACACUCAUACAAAAGUAUACAUCGAACUUUUCUGUCAAAGCAAAUAUCUCACGCAAAGCGAAGCAAAAGUUCUAUGUGAAUUAGUCAUUACUCGUUCAUAAUCGUUAAAAAUUUGCCAAAGUUAACCAAAAGUGUCCGAGGUACGAGAAAAUUAGCCGUUUGCGCACAGCUGCCACAAACCAGCUGUUAAAUUUUGUUGUUGUAUUUUGACAAUUAGUUGUCAAAAGUACUCCAUAACUGAAAAAAUAUAAGAUCUACAACAUUGCCAUAUAACGUUUUUCUAUAAGACUCGUAAUUUUGCCGGAAAUCGAGAUAAACCGUUUCUAACACUUAAAAAUUCAUCCACACCGCUCCUCUUGGCCUUCCCGACCUCAGUUCGCCCGUAAAUUAUUUUUACUUUAAUUUUUGCUAUUUUAUCCUUCGUUUCUGAUGGUAUUCAACCUGCUAUGAAUUUCUUUAUUUGUUUAUCAUUUUCAAACGCUUCUGCACUAGUCUAUUUAAAGACCAGGGUAGAUAAUUUAAAGCAAAAAAAUUAUUUUCUAUAUAAAAAUGAAACGCUAUUUCGUUAAGUACCCGCAGAAGAUCCGAACCACAGCACGGAAAGACAUGAAAUUUUGCACAGUUAUUCGUCUAUUCCUAUAGAAGGUCCUAACGGAGGACUUUUUGACAAAAUCACGGCAUGUGACGCGUCCUCUUCUGUUCUUCGCCUGCACCGUUAUAGACUAUAACUACUAUAUAUAAUACAUUCGAUAAGUUAUAGCACAUAGCACAUUACAAUCGAUUCGAUCGAAAUUCAGGUUUUGACAAUUUUUACACUUGAGAUGGCACCUCUAAACGGCACUAUUUUUGCAAAGUUUUCAUCCGAAAAGUAGGCGUGAUUAUAGACCGAACUCGCAUACCCUGUUAUGGAAAUAUCAGAAUAAUGUUAUAAACCUGAUUUCCGUGAAAUUGGUCAAGUAGCUUAGAAAAAAUAGACUUAACGGGUAUUUCAAUAGAACGGACAGACCUCGCCCCGUCAUCCUGAGUGUUUAUAUAUAUAUCUCCAUAUUUAUUUCGAUUAGUUUUAGGUUAUAAAAACAACCGUUAGGUGAACAAAACUAUUAUAUGUGUAUAAAAAGGGCAUAGCAGGGCACGCCGGGUACAGCUAACUAAUAAAAAUUACAAAAAAAAAUAAUGUAAGUGUUUGGGUUUUUAAUUUUUUUCUUGUACAACAAAUUUUUUCUUUCACGAAAUUUGGAAUGAACUUACCUUUCGUGACGCAAACACACUGCAGUUUUUUUGAUUUAAAAUAUUUAUUUUUACACCCAGAACAGGGUAAAUAAAGUUUUUUAAGUAAAGAGAUCCCCCAAAAAAUAUAUAUCUAAAUCUUAAAUUUAGCAAUGUUCAUCUGUCUGUCUGUAUAUGCGCGAACUAGUUCCUCAGUUGUUGAAAUAAUAUAAAUACCGGAAAUUUAGAACACGUGCUUUUCUCAUUAAGAAGCUGCUCAUUUGUCGGAACGGUUGAUAUCGGAGCACUAUAACAUAUAGCUGCCAUACAAACAGAACAAUCGGAUUCAAGUGCUUGUAUGGAAAACUUUUUCAUCUGGUGAGAUAUCUUCCCGAAAUUUGACAUGGUUUACUUUCUAGGGCAGAGGUGCUAACCCCGGAGAAAUUGUUCAUAUCGGAUAACUUUAGCAUAUAGCUGCCAUACAGACAAAACGGUCCGAAUCAAUUUCUUGUUAGGAACCUUUAGUGUUUGUGAAGGGUAUUAUAUCUUCGGUACAACCAAAGUUAACGUUUUUUCUUGUUUCACCUUUAUUUUGACUUAAUAUCAAAAAACGAUCCUAAUUUUCAAUCGAAAUUUUAAGAUCACCCGUAAAUUAUUUUACCUUUCACUUUUGUUAUUUUUUCUUUCCUUUCCUAUGGGUUUCAACUUACUAUGAAUUUCUUUUACUUUUAACCAUAGUGAAAGGUUUCUGCACUGGCGUAUAAGAUGUUUCGGUGACUGAAAUCAAUGUGUUAGUAGUAAAGGUUGCACGUAGUACUUAAGAGCACUAUCUAAUAGAGAAGACAGUUUCUUGACAGAUCCGUAUAUUAUAACCAAAAUUAGUCGAGAGAUAUCUUAGCAUUAGCCAACUGGAAACCAAAUGAACGACAACACGCUAAAGAUUUCAGAAUACAUAUACAUAAGUAUUACACAAAUUAUUAUGAAAUUAUAAUAUUAUAUAUUCCAUAUGUCUCUUCAUCCUGCUAAAUGCUUGACCUUAACUAAGAACGUAUGGUAGUGUAGCUAAUUGGAAGAGGAAUAGUAACUCCACUCUCCAUACAAGUUAAAUAUAGACUCUUACAAGAAUGCUAGAAACAAGAUUGCUUGACGUAAUAAAUUUAAGAAUGGGAAAUGGCAACAUAGAAAACUGUCAAAUGGCCUGUAAAUUAUAAAAAUUUUCUUUGUUGCCCUUCCCAAUACUACUCUGUGUCCCUUGGGCAAUAAUGUAAGUCAUAGACAAGAACUUGAUUUUGACCGGUAUGUUUCUAAAGCUUAUUCUAUAAUGUUUUUCCAUAAUACAAUAAUUAAAAUAUAUGCAUGUAAAUCUAGAUGGAAGAGAAAGAAUGUAAUUAGAGGGUGUGUAACCGUUUUUCAAAAUAUGAGUAAUAAUGAUUAAUGACGGUUCAACUGAAUGUAGUGUAAAUAGUUCUAACACAUUAUUUUUAGCCAUACUACAACAGCAGCGAACAAACUCAUACUCAGUUAUAGCGAAGCACCACAAAUUUCACGGCGUGUUGACCAAAAAUAUAAAUAUAGACACCUGUUCUAUAUAUGAAGAUUAAUAAGUACUGCGUACAUUGAAAUAUUUCACGUGAGUAUAUACAGGAAUUGUUCGCAUAUUAGAAAUGGUAUUUGAAAGAAAAUAUUGCAUAUGACGCCAUUCUUUGACAAACGAGUGAUGAAACAAUACGCCAUUCCUAAGAAUCACCAAGACAAACUCAGUUAAUUUCCUCAAGGGGAUGUUAAGACGAGCUGCGCGUUCUUUUGUCACUCGCUUAGAAAAACAACAGCAUUAUUAAGAUGUACUCGUAUUCGACCGUCCGAUGUAUACUUUAUUUUGACGUCAAUUACCAAUUGUUGAAGAAUUUGUAUUUUUACUAAUACUUUUUAAACUAUUUAUUCUAUUUAUUAUGGAAGGUUCGAUAUCUGUAAGAAAAGAUAUACUUAGGUCCCUCAAAUGGAACACAGAAAUGAGCAAUAAAAUGAUUUAAGCCCUUUUAUCAAACUUUUUGUCAGUUUAGUUGAACUGAAGUUAUGUACUGAGUUCUAGAGAUAGCUGAGUUAACUUUUAAUAAUAAUAAUAAAUAGUUAUUAUUUCGAUGAAUGCCAGCUGUUUGUUCGAUUCCCAACUAUACAUAUUUGACAAGUCGCUUUUUGUUACAAUUAUGAUAAUUACCUAUUCAUUCAGAAGUAAAAUACUCUUGCAAUAAACAACAUCCGAUGAGGCGAUUAUUGAAUGUUCGAGAUAAAGAUUCUGCGUCUAUGGACGUUUUAGAGUUAGCAGAGACGAAUAUGAAAUGAAACCCAGCAAAUAAGUUGGAAAGGGAACGCUGUGAAUAGCAACUUUAAUGCUGAAAGAAUUAUAUACAUCAACAACUAAUGAGGAACAUUUGUUGCAGACGGGAGAAGGGGGACUUAUCGCUUGCGGAAGUAUCGAAUUGGGGCUGACUUGGAGUAGAAAGACAUAUCACAAUAUGAUUGUUGUCAAGGACUUUACUUGAUUUUGAGCGUUCAACUUUUAUAUCAGCUCCCAUAUAUGCUAUAGUGGUCCCAUAUCGGCGGUGCCGACAAUUCUUGGAGAGAAAAGAACUAGUUUAAAAUUUUAGAUUGAUAUCUCAAAAACUGAGAUCUAUCAAAUCGGAAGGGUGCUAUCAUCAUUGGAUAUACAGUAAAGAGUCUCAAGAAUACUUUUAUUUCAGUAAUCAUAAAAUUUCACUUAUUGAUUACAUUGCAGCCCAGUGUGAAUAAUGACACGAAAUCGUCGCUUUUGAGUUAUUGUCCUUUAGAGAUUAGCGUGCUGUGUACAUUUUUGUUUACCAAAGUUUACAUAUUAGUAUGAUUGUUGUUGGUAGUGACUUGUAUAAAAUCACCCAACGGCAAAUAAUGGUCAAUAAACACGUGCACACUAUAAACACAUAUGGAUUUGUAUGUGUAGCUAUGUAGUUGUACAGGGAAACCCACUAAUUCCACGACAGGACAUGGCUUAAUGGGGCGGACAUACUCGUGUGCCUGUAAUUAAUCUAAUGUACCGAAACCGCAAAUGAUAUUUUGCAUGUUCAUUUUCACUAUUACAUCUAAAUAGUGUUCAAAAUAAUUACUAAGAGUGGCCUUUACUGUGACACCUUAUUGUUAUGACUAUUUUUUUUUUAUUGAGAUAUACCAUAUAUAGUAUUUCCCUUAACUCCGGUUGGAGCGUAGUUUUAUUGAGAAACGUAAGGGUUUACCAUAUAUUAAAGAUUUUUAGUGACACGAUCUGGAACUGUCAUGAACUCAACACAUGAAACACGCCAUAUUAUCUACCAUCCUUAUAUGAAUACUCGUUGUAUUCAUAGGUAUUUGACAAAAUCUCUCUUACAAGUAUUAAAAUGGAGCUGCUGACUGUGGGAGAAAUUGAUUUUUUAAACCCGAUUUCGUGGAUCGCCCGAUAACAUUGUUGGUUUAAUAAAAACAUUAUAGUACGGCAACUAAUGGUUCUUCUAUCAGCAGCACGUUCUUCGAAAAGCGGUACUGUACCGAUAGAAGAGGUUGUACAACAACAAUGUCUGGUUCAACAAAGAACUGAAACUGAACAAGAAAAUAUAAUUGUUUAGCAAUUCUAUAAAUGUUUUAAUUUAACUUGGUUGAAUUAAUAUCUAUAAAAGUCUAUAAAACAGUAUCAAAAACAUAUUGAAAUAUUUAAGCUUCGACAUUAUGUUUAAAUUAUAUUAGUAACAGAAUACUAUUUUGGAUCAAAAUCAAAAUUGACUUGGACGAAUUCAUAUAAACUGCACGCGCAAACCGAAUCCAUAUAAUUUGUUUGCCCUAGAGUUUGACAGCUGUUAGUUUACGACUCGAAAAGUUUGUCUGUUGUUUUUAACAUGGAAAAAUAUUAAACAACGUGUUUGCUUGAAAUUUUGUGUUUCUGAUGGAAUCACGGCUACGGAAUCGCUGAAAAUGUUGCAGAACAAUUAGUUAUGGUCGUGAAGUCAACUUGCCUCAUGCGAUUCACCCAUUCAGCUCUGUUAAUGGCGAUAACAUCGAAAAAGUUAAAGAAACAGUACUUGAAACUCGUCGUGAUGGCAGCAGAAAAUAGCAGAGGAUCGCAACCUUUCUGAGGAAUCGACUUAUCACAUUAUUAAUGAUUAAUGUUUUGUAUAUGAAGCGUAUCAAUGCUAGACGCGUACCGAACCUUUUGUAAAAACGAGGUCGCAGAAGAGAUGCUCGACACCGUAGCCGAGAAUCCCACGUACAUAAGUAUGUAUAGUAAAUAUGUACAUAUAUUAAACGCAUCAUUACUUGAUAGUAGGUGUAUAUCAUAAAUAUGAUGUCGAAACUGUCCAACAAUCUAGCAAAUGGCGCUCCAAAAAUUAGCCGAAACCGAAAACACACAAAAUUUGUUAAUGGCCAUGCCAGCCGUGGCUUAUAACAAGUGUAUGGAAAAUUGAGUUAAGCUUGUAUUAAUUAGUUCAGGACCCUAUUUUAAUAGCAAAAAUAAAUAUAUGUAUUCAAAAACGUGAAAA